rnacentral:lncRNA from 1 species
GUUAUUAGACCUUCGGUUACUCUCACCGUCCCCAAGCUGUGCCCGUGCCAUUCCCAAGCAGUACCCGUCCCAGAAACGUUUCCGUACCGGAAACGUCGACCUAAAUGACAUCCCCGUGCUUCAUAGUUGAGGAUCAUGGAAGGAGGCCGGAACUGACUUGGUAACAGUUUGGAUAGUUUCAGAUUGUGAUUGAAUGCUUGGUUGAUUGGAUGAUUGAUUGAUUGGUUGCAUGCUUAGUUAUGGCUUUGCUGAAUGCUUAUAUAACUAGGAUGCCUUGGUUGAUUGCUUGGUGGUUAGAGUGCAUCCAUAGAUGAUUAUUGCUAUUUUAUUAUUAAUUGUUUAACAUAGAAUGAAU